UUGUGAAUGAUGACAAAGCUUUCUCAAAUGUUCGCAGUUGAGAGUUCUGUUGAAUAAGAACGACUCGAUGAAAUUUUCACGUAGCCUUCACUUAGAUGUCUGACACGAAAG
rnacentral:snoRNA from 1 species